rnacentral:rRNA from 1 species
GAUGAACGCUGGCGGCGUGCCUAAUACAUGCAAGUCGAGCGAACAGACGAGGAGCUUGCUCCUCUGACGUUAGCGGCGGACGGGUGAGUAACACGUGGAUAACCUACCUAUAAGACUGGGAUAACUUCGGGAAACCGGAGCUAAUACCGGAUAACAUGUUGAACCGCAUGGUUCAACAGUGAAAGACGGUCUUGCUGUCACUUAUAGAUGGAUCCGCGCCGCAUUAGCUAGUUGGUAAGGUAACGGCUUACCAAGGCAACGAUGCGUAGCCGACCUGAGAGGGUGAUCGGCCACACGGGAACUGAGACACGGUCCAGACUCCUACGGGAGGCAGCAGUAGGGAAUCUUCCGCAAUGGGCGAAAGCCUGACGGAGCAACGCCGCGUGAGUGAAGAAGGUCUUCGGAUCGUAAAACUCUGUUAUUAGGGAAGAACAAAUGUGUAAGUAACUAUGCACGUCUGGACGGUACCUAAUCAGAAAGCCACGGCGAACUACGU